GCCUUCGUGGUAUAACGGUAGAAUACUCGGCGUGUAUUCGAAAGAUCCAGGUUCGAUUCCCGGCGAGAGCU
rnacentral:tRNA from 1 species